AAUAUAAUGUUAUGCGUUCAACAAGGUAGCCCAAUAACCCAAACAACGUAACAGGCGACGCCCCUGACACCCCGGAAGAAAAAAAAAAACACCAACUUAUACGUUUAUGUUAUGCUGCGUUCAAACCGAACGCGUCUGGGGCGUCUAGCGUCUGAUUUACAUGUGGCUACUCAGGCAGGCGCUCGCUCACUCAGUACGCGCUGAAGGCUCUUUGCAAAAUGGCUAAUGUGUUUAACACAUAGACUGUAAAGGUUUAACAGACCAGAAAUAGAAGAUCGUCCAAAUAACCAACAGGUCUGGUGUUUGGGUGCACUUUGGAUUCCCUAGCGCACAGCCUCAACUGAAUGCGCUGCUCCUCUCAGCCACUCACUGAACAGCAGACGCAGAGAGAAGUGCGCCUGCGGCAGCGGCAAGAAAGCAAGAUCUUGCGCUCAUGCGGCAGUAGAGGAGGGUCUCGGAAGCUAGAUCAGGUGUCCCCUCACGGACUGCUAUUUACACACUCAGCAUCUUCCCUGUAGAGGGCGCCACUGAAAUAACGGCUACUCGAGGUCUCGCUUCAGACCCGGCAGGUAAAAAUCUGCAACACACUGCUGCCUGCUUCCU